CGUGCCAGGAUCAGAACUCACGUACAUAGCGAUUACAUAAAUGACUCAUCAUAGCACAAUGCCUCGAAUAACAAUAAAGGGUAAGUCAUAGUAUUAAAGACUAGAGUCAUUACAUAAUAUAAUCAAAGUACACAGAAUAGAAACGUAGCCAACGUAAAUUAACCCACCACAGGCAGCUGACUGGGGGAGGUCGCUAGCCUAAUCCUCAAACUCGUCGAAGUCCUGGAAUUCCUGGGGAUCCGCCACACCCGGUUUUGGAAGGUAAACCAAAUGCGAACCAUGUACGUGCCAGGAUCAGAACUCACGUACAUAGCGAUUACAUAAAUGACUCAUCAUAGCACAAUGCCUCGAAUAACAAUAAAGGGUAAGUCAUAGUAUUAAAGACUAGAGUCAUUACAUAAUAUAAUCAAAGUACACAGAAUAGAAACGUAGCCAACGUAAAUUAACCCACCACAGGCAGCUAACUGGGGGAGGUCGCUAGCCUAAUCCUCGAACUCGUCGAAGUCCUGGAAUUCCUGGGGAUCCGCCUCGACGCCUUCUUCUUUACCUGAGCAUAGAUUGCCCCAAAGGCAACCUGGUGUUUUGUGAAAGCAAGGGUGAGUACACAUCAACGUACUCAGCAAAUGUCCCGUUUGGCUGAGGUGGACUAGCUUUAUGUGGGGUUUAGCUCAAGCAGUUGCU
rnacentral:lncRNA from 1 species